AGAGAUGUGUGAUGACGCAUAUCAAUAAGCGGAGGAAAAGAAACUAACAAGGAUUCCCUUAGUAACGGCGAGUGAAGCGGGAAGAGCUCAAAUUUGAAAUCUUCAAGGUUCUACCUUGACGAAUUGUAGUUUAUAGAAGUGUUUUCUGUUAGUAGAGUGGCAAAAGUUCUUUGGAAUAGGACAUCAUAGAGGGUGAGAAUCCCGUAUUUGGUCAUUCUUUCUAGCUUUGUGAUACACUUUCAACGAGUCGGAUUGUUUGGGAAUGCAGUCCAAAAUGGGUGGUAAAUUUCAUCUAAAGCUAAAUAUUGGCGAGAGACCGAUAGCGAACAAGUACCGUGAGGGAAAGAUGAAAAGAACUUUGAAAAGAGAGUUAAACAGUACGUGAAAUUGUCAAAAGGGAAGCGUUUGACACCAGUGUUGUUUUUCCGAAAAUCAAUUACGAAUGUUUUAGUUUUUGAGGAGUUAUGACUUCAUCGGCUUGCUUCUCUCUUUAUGAAACUUUCUUAAUGCACUUUUCGGUUAACAAGUCAACAUCAAUUUCUUUUGUUGUAAAAGGGUAUGAGGAAGGUGGCUUUCUUUUCGGAGAAAGUGUUUAUAGCCUUGUACCUCUGCAAUCGGAGAGAUUGAGGUCUGCGGCGUAGAUCCUUCGGGGUUAGAUACAUUUGUGCUAAGUUAUAGCUUUUCAUAGACAACUUGUUGACUAUGUUAAGUCUUGUAGCUUACUCGCUUAUGCUAUUUUACCUACGCUUAGGAUGUUGACGAUCAGCUGAGCGCG
rnacentral:rRNA from 1 species